rnacentral:rRNA from 1 species
GCAAUGGGCGAAAGCUGACGGAGCAACGCCGCGUGAGURAUGAAGGUCUUCGGAUCGUAAAACUCUGUUAUCAGGGAAGAACAAAUGUGUAAGUAACUGUGCACAUCUUGACGGUACCUGAUCAGAAAGCCACGGCUAACUACGUGCCAGCAGCCGCGGUAAUACGUAGGUGGCAAGCGUUAUCCGGAAUUAUUGGGCGU